rnacentral:rRNA from 1 species
CUCAAUCUCCAUCUCGUCUGGCCUUGAGAAUGCCCGACCUUGUCUGAUCUAAGAAGCUAAGUCGGGCUGGGCUUGGUUAGUGCGGGGAUGGGAGACUGUUGGGAAUACCAGAUGCGAUAGUGA